CGGCACGCUUAACACAUGCAAGUCGAACGGAGAAUAUUGGUUACUGAGUAGUCUUAGUGGCGGACGGGUGAGUAACACGUGAGCAACCGUGCCUUUGAGAGAGGGAUAGCUUCUGGAAACGGAUGGUAAUACCUCAUAACAUAGUUGAAGGGCAUCCUUUGAUUAUCAAAGAUUUAUCACUCAAAGAUGGGCUCGCGUCUGAUUAGAUAGUUGGAGAGGUAACGGCUCACCAAGUCGACGAUCAGUAGCCGGACUGAGAGGUUGAACGGCCACAUUGGGACUGAGACACGGCCCAGACUCCUACGGGAGGCAGCAGUGGGGAAUAUUGCACAAUGGGGGGAACCCUUGAUGCAGCGAUGCCGCGUGGAGGAAGAAGGUUUUCGGAUUGUAAACUCCUGUCUUAAAGGACGAUAAUGACGGUACUUUAGGAGGAAGCUCCGGCUAACUACGUGCCAGCAGCCGC
rnacentral:rRNA from 1 species